UCGCUCCACGCCGUUAUCAUUUUCCGUUCCAUUUCCUCGGCGAUAUCUUGCGCGAUCAAGACGAAUUAAAAGUGGUGACUAAUGUGAUGUGAUGUGUCGUAUGUCGUUAGGCGAUGUGUAAAUCUCUCCCUCGGCUAAAUCAAUGAAAACAGGGAAAGCGAUAAAUCGGGUCAUUGGUCGGAUUAAUUGCAGGUUGCUCCGGGAAUGUGUUCGCAAUUAACUAUAAAUGGAGAAAAAUGGUUGCGUUUGUUCGUCCGUAAAGUGCAUUUCCGUUGGGCGCUAAUAUCCAGGUACUCAAGAUAUACCUGGGCACCACGUACUGUGGAUUUAAUGUUGCGUGUGAGCAUCGCCUCGAUUCGCAGGAUAAGUCUAGAGUAAGAUACAUCGUGUGCCUCUAAUAAUAACUCUACUCUGCGUAAAAGCGAGUCUUAAGAGAAAAUCGAAGUGUGUAAGAGAGGCAGGAGAUCCCGUGUGUAUAGCAUUAGAAUCUUGUGAAAGAGCUUAACUUAAUUUCGAAAAUUUCAAAGUACGAAGGAAAGAUUAACAUAAAGAGAGAGAGAAAAAGAGAUAACGUUUACGGAAAAAUUUAUCUGUCGAAAGAAAGAAAGAAAGAUCGGCACGUUCUCUACGCAUUUAUUUAUGCAUGGAUGACUUUAAACGUGAAUGAAUGUAAUUGUAACCGCAAUGUAAAUCGUUCGAAAUAGCGAAUAUUGCGACGUGCGUAUCAUUUUAAAUACGGUUCUCUCUAGGGGCUGUCCACUUAACCCAUUUCCUGUCAAAUUUUUUGUAUUCUUUUUAAUAAUAUUAUAUGUGUUUGCAUAGAAACACGAGUGAAAUUUUACAUGCAAUUUUCAAAGGUAAAAAAUAAAAAUAGAUCCUUUAUUUAAUUUUGAAAUAAUUCCAUUUAGGUACACGGAUUUGUAAUUUUAUUGCAAAUCGUCAAUUGCUGUUAAUAAAUAAAUCCCCAAGUAGAAAUCAGAAGAGAAUGGAUCAAACGAUUUAAAAAAUCACAUUUUUACGAUUGUUUUCAAUUCGCCUUGUUACGUGUGUAAAUAUAUACGUGUACCUUGACCGCUCACUUAUUGCGAAACAGGUCUUUACGAAAUGCAAGGUCUUUCAUCGUCCAGAUACGAAAGUCUAAAAGACACCUAAAAAGAAAUACGAAGACAUCUUUAAGACGUAUUUUUACGACGCAGUUAUAUCCGAAUUAAUAGUGAAACAAUAAACAAUGGAGAGGCAGUUAUUACGUCAAUUGCCGUAAAUCUUUUAAUCACGUGGAAGCCAUGAAAAGUCCGUGUUUUUAUGAACAUUUAACUAAUGUUAACGAUGCAGAUCACGCGAGAGAAAAAUUAUGUUUCUCCAUCGCUUUCUUUCUUUCACACGAAAUAAGAGGAAUGUUGUUAUUCUGAGAAGCCACUGAAAUUGAAUAUUUAUAAUCUGUGAAUUAAUCGUCGUAUCAACACCGCGUAGGUCUGGAUGUGCCGAGAUAAAGCAUCAGUAAAUAACUGUAAAACGGCGUUUACACACAAGCCUAUCCAAUUAAGGAUCACGAUGAUCCGCGGAGCACGAAAGCGAAAGUAUUUAAGCAAAGCGUGACGAAACGAAGCGUCUCAUCUAGUCACUUUACGGAUUUUAAAUGGUUUCGAACCAACACAUCGCAGAUGAUCGACUAUGAUAUCGUAGAAACAGAUACCUCCUUCCUUUGUGUUUACAAAAAAAAUAUGCGAAAUAAGAACCCACCAGUUGUUCGUCAACGGAUUACCAUUCCCACCAGCUGAUACUCUACAAUUAAGGACUAAUGUGUUGCGAUCUAAAAUGAAGAUAAAAGGAAAAACAUGUUAGACUCGGGUCAAGCGUGACGAAGCAAGACGUCUCAUCUAGCCACUUUACGGAUUUUAAACAUCUUGAAACCAACACAUUGCAGAUUGAUCGACUAUGAUAGAAAUAACAGAAGGACCCACCAAUUGUUCGGCAACGGAUCACCAACUGGUCGAACUGAUACUCGACUAUAAUUGAUGAGGACCAAUGUGUUGCAAUCUAAAAUGAAGAUAAAACGAAAAAUACGUUAGACUUGGGUCAAGCAUGACGAGAUGUCUCAUCUACUUUAAGAAUAUUAUACGCCUCGGAACCAACAUAUCGCAGAUUGAUCGAUUAUGAUAUCGUAGAAACAGAUAUUCCUCUUCCUUUGCGUUUUUGAAAUUACAAAAAAAACAUGCGAAAUAAGGACCCACUGAUUGUUCGUCAACGGAUCACCAUUCCCUCCAGCUGGUCGAACUGAUGAUACCCGACAAUUGACGUGGAUCAAUGUGUUGCAAUCUAAAAUAAAGACAAAAGAAAAAACAUA